AAAUCCUUGCUCUCAGUCCACAGAAUAGACUCAUCAAGAACAUCUGGAUUAUAAGGUAUCAGCUGCACAGGGUGUGUGGCUCCAAUGGAAUGCUUCAUGGCCUCACCAGUGGCUUUGUUAACCAAAGCAAAGCAAGGACAGCCGUCCUCGUCCUUUACUCUUGUGCUAUACUUCUCAUCCUUGUACCAGUUUUGGAACUCAUCAGAUGGAUCCGAUGGUGCUAGAAUCACUUUGCCGUCCCUGAUCGUGAGAAAAAAAUUAGGCUCAGCCUUGCAAUAAACCUUAUAGGAAGGCUUA
rnacentral:misc_RNA from 1 species